rnacentral:lncRNA from 1 species
UUUUUUUAAGGAGGUGUUCCUUUUUUUUGUAAGGAGAGAAGUAUGUUAACUGAUAACUUCUUUUACAAGCAUGCAUUUACCACAGGUCCAACAGGAGGCAGGGAGGCACCAUGCCAUGUAACAGAGAAAAAUUGGAUGUUCUUUACAUGAGUGAUGAACAAUUUUUUCCAUGUCAUGUAACAGUGGACUCAUGAAUAUAGGAUGCAGGAACCUCACAGGUUGCUUUCUCGAUCGGACUUUUGCCAUUGCCCUUGUCUAACUGAUACUAUUCAGGCUCCACCUAACAUAAUUUUGUUCUCUUAUUCCACAACAUUGCACCACUGCACCUGCUAUUAGAUGUGUUCUAUUACACCCUGCAUUUCUUUUUAGUCUGCGUAUAAGAUUUUGUCAAAGUUAAACUUUGUAAAGUUUGACUAACUUUAUAGAAAAAAAAUCAACAUCGACAAUACAAAAGUUAUAUGUUACGAAAAUUAAUUUUAUCAUGCAUCUAUAAUAUUGAUUUCAUAGUGUGAAUGUUGAUAUCUUUUCCUACAAAACUAGUCAAACUUUACAUGGUUUGACUUUGACCAAAUCUUAUAUGCAGACUAAGGAGGGAGUACUUGUCACUUACUCAUCUCCUCUCAAGUUUCCCUUCUCCAUCCCUUGGCAGCUAGGGUUUCUCUUUCCCUUUUUCAUCCCUUGGCGGCUAGGGCAAACUUUCCCUCAACAGACUUCGCCGACGAGUCCCCGGAUUCGCCUCCCUCUGCCUGCCGCUCCGGUGGCAGGUGGAGGGGAAGGGAAUCCCGAUGCCUCCGCUUUGGUUAGUAGUUUAAGUUAGGGUUUUUUAGUCCUCGCAGGUGCGGCGCUCGGGUGGAUGGCGGCGCUUCUUCUCCGAGUUUGUGUUCUGGGCUUCGAUCCUCCUCGAGUUCGUCCAUUUGGACGUAGCCGACGGAGCUCCGGCGUAGAUUCCUGCCGUCUUUUUGGGGUGGUGAGGUUUGGGUUUCUCGUCGUGUGGCGAGAUUUGGUGUUGGAUGCUUCAGAUCUAUUCAAGUGUUCAACGACGACGGUUGUGGGGCGCUCGUCCUUAGGGGCACGUGCACAAAGACUUCCUGGCUGUCAUUAACAAGGUCAAACUGGCUCUGAUAGGGGAGCGGCGACAGUGGCGCGUCGGCGGCACGUUCUGGCGGCGAUAGUGAUUGUUCGGUGGUCUCGACAUCUUAAUGUAAUUUUUAUUAUGUUUGAGGUGCUUUGUACUUCCGGUGAACUUUGAUAACAGAUCUAAAUUAUUUUCGCAAAACAAAAAGUUUCCUUAAAAAAAACUUCCCUUAUAUGGUAAGUACGAUUUGAUAUCAGGAUGUGUACUGUAUAGAAGAUGCAUACUUUGUAGUUUCUUAGAAAAUGCUAGUGCUCCUAUCCAGAUGAGUUUCCCCAUCAAGGGUUUUGAAAAUCUCAAAAUAAUUGUUGGAUGGAUAAUUCUCUGUUGUCGUGGGAAUAAAAAAAUAUUCGUCAAUACUAUGUCGAUUUAGACACCACAUGAAGAAAAAAAAGCAUUUGCAGUCGAUUUUAGACAUGGAAAUAAUCCUUUGUAGUUUCUUCUUAUUUCUCUUACAGAGUGCAAAUUUUGGCUCAGUUUUGAAAUGAUCACACUGCAUCCAAUAAUUCGAUUCCACAAAUUGCUAAAAGUUUUAAAAACUUACACAUGCACAUAUCGAUUAUUUCAAAACCAGGUGCGCACGCGCCCAGCUGCACAACAUAUUUAGUGUUUUUUUUAUCAUAUCUCAACAUUUCUAAGUAAUCUACCUUAUGUGUUCCUGUCAUGUACCCUCCAGAAGUCUAUUCUCUACCACGCCUGUGGGCCUCUCCGGCCAUGACACUACAACCAAUUGGCUAAUUGCAACGCGCAUUUGGCAUUGCAUCAAGUGAUGGCAUCUUUUCAGCAUCAUGUGCUGUUGAAACACAGUAAUCAACAUACCAGUCUUUGGCCGUAAACUCAAAAACAUUAUAGAACAGAGAAUGCAGACAAGCAAAGAGAUGCAGAUGAUAAAAGCAACUUGACCAUGGGAAAACCAGAUCUCAAGCAAAAUGAUUACAGAGCAAAGAAAUGUGGCUUACAAGUUGCAGUUAAUCAAACCAACAUCCAUGUGUGCUCUGUGCUCUGGAUACUGUGAUAGAUCGAGGUAUCCAAGAAUGAAAGGAUAAACCACAUGAUCACACAGUAAGCAUACUACACUGAUGCAGCAUAGAGCAUGCAGACACGUGAAUAGAAUUGAAGAUCUGAUCACAGACUACUAAGCACGCAUGAGAAGAAUUAUAACAUGGCCGUUGUGCAUAAUAUAUACAUGAGAAGAACACAAAGAUCAGGGAGAAUUGUCUGCCCAAGGGUAUCACACAAAUAAAGAAUUCAGCUAUAUUCAGAAGCUGGACACGGGCAAGCAAACUGACUUGACAAAGGGAAUACAAGCGAGCAGUCUCACCCAGCAAACCAUAAUACACACGCUUAAAGACAUGUUGCGGCUUGACAACCGGAAAGACAAGUGCUAAUGACAUAUCAACAAGGGCGAAAGAAAACAAGCACCACACACUCAAUACUUCAUAUUCAGCAAACAAAAGGUUUGAAUCUGAAGUCGGUCCGUCGGUUCUAG